rnacentral:rRNA from 1 species
GUGAGGAAUAUUGCGCAAUGGACGAAAGUCUGACGCAGCAACGCCGCGUGGGCGAUGAAGGCCUUCGGGUUGUAAAGCCCUUUUCCAGAGGAAGAGACAAGGACGGUACUCUGGGAAUAAGCCACGGCUAACUACGUGCCAGCAGCCGCGGUAAUACGUAGGUGGCAAGCGUUAUCCGGAUUUACUGGGCGUAAAGCGCGUGCAGGCGGUCUCGCAAGUCGGACGUUAAAUCUCCCGGCUUAACCAGGAGGUGUCGUUCGAAACUGCGAGACUUGAGGUCGGGAGAGGGGAGCGGAAUUCCCGGUGUAGUGGUGGAAUGCGUAGAUAUCGGGAGGAACACCUGUGGCGAAAGCGGCUCCCUGGCCCGCACCUGACGCUAAGACGCGAAAGCGUGGGGAGCGAACAGGAUUAGAAACCCCUGUAGUCC